GACGAACGCUGGCGGCGUGCCUAAUACAUGCAAGUUGAGCGCUGAAGGUUGGUACUUGUACCAACUGGAUGAGCAGCGAACGGGUGAGUAACGCGUGGGGAAUCUGCCUUUGAGCGGGGGACAACAUUUGCAAACGAAUGCUAAUACCGCAUAAAAACUUUAAACACAAGUUUUAAGUUUGAAAGAUGCAAUUGCAUCACUCAAAGAUGAUCCCGCGUUGUAUUAGCUAGUUGGUGAGGUAAAGGCUCACCAAGGCGAUGAUACAUAGCCGACCUGAGAGGGUGAGCGGCCACAUUGGGACUGAGACACGGCCCAAACUCCUACGGGAGGCAGCAGUAGGGAAUCUUCGGCAAUGGACGAAAGUCUGACCGAGCAACGCCGCGUGAGGGAAGAAGGUUUUCGGAUCGUAAAACUCUGUUGGUAGAGAAGAACGUUGGUGAGAGUGGAAAGCUCAUCAAGUGACGGUAACUACCCAGAAAGGGACGGCUAACUACGUG
rnacentral:rRNA from 1 species